AGAGUUUGAUCCUGGCUCAGAACGAACGCUGGCGGCGUGCUUAACACAUGCAAGUCGAACGCGAAAGGGACUUCGGUCCCGAGUAGAGUGGCGCACGGGUGAGUAACGCGUAAGUGAUCUACCCCUGUAUUUGGGAUAACUAUGGGAAACUGUAGCUAAUACCGGAUACGUUCUUGUUCUUGCGAGUAUAUGAAGAAAGAUGGCCUCUGAUUCAAGCUAUUGUACAGGGAGGAGCUUGCGUACCAUUAGCUAGUUGGUAGGGUAAAGGCCUACCAAGCCGAUGACGGGUAGCUGGUCUGAGAGGAUGGUCAGCCACACUGGAACUGAAACACGGUCCAGACUCCUACGGGAGGCAGCAGUGAGGAAUAUUGCGCAAUGGACGAAAGUCUGACGCAGCAACGCCGCGUGGGCGAUGAAGGCCUUCGGGUCGUAAAGCUCUUUUCUGGGGGACGAGGAAGGACGGUACCUCAGGAAUAAGCCUCGGCUAACUACGUGCCAGCAGCCGCGGUAAAACGUAGGAGGCGAGCGUUAUCCGGAUUUAUUGGGCGUAAAGCGCAUGCAGGUGGUGCCACAAGUCGGAUGUGAAAGCUCCUGGCUUAACUGGGAGAGGUCGUUCGAAACUGUGGGACUGGAGGUCGGAAGAGGGAAGCGGAAUUCCCGGUGUAGUGGUGGAAUGCGUAGAUAUCGGGAGGAACACCAGUGGCGGAAGCGGCUUCCUGGUCCGCACCUGACACUCAGAUGCGAAAGCGUGGGGAGCGAACAGGAUUAGAUACCCUGGUAGUCC
rnacentral:rRNA from 1 species